UAGGGACUUCGCUCCCUCUGGAGGCUGCUGUGUCAGCCUGCUAGACGGAGUCCCUCCAGGUAGGAUUAAACAAUAAAGCCUUGUGUUUGCAGUUUGGUGAGUUUGUCUCCUUGGUAGUCUCUGGGGGGGUCUUUGAGACUUGGGCACAGCAUCAUUAGAAUAAUAUAAACAAGAGUGGCAGUAUUUGGUACAUAUAGGAUGUUGAACAAUGGGAACUUGUGUAUGAUGGAAAUUAGUGCAAUUACUUUGAACAUGAUUUGGUAAUAUCUAGUAAAGCUGAAAAUGUGCCAGAAGAAUAAGAUCCAGUCCAGGGUGUAUGUAGAAGGACUCUUCCUGCUCAUGUGUGUGGGAGAGUUAUGUGAGAAUGACAAAAUGCAUGUGUGAGAGGGUAGUUACAAUUCAGAGGUGCCUGACUUGUCCAUUGGAGACUACCGCCUGUCCCCUAGAAUCUGCUCUCAUCCUCUAACACCACAGGCUAGUGGGACACAUGGUUAGACUAUGUCUUACUUGUUGCCUUUUCUGUCCUCCAUAUGGUAAAUGAGUAGCCAGCUAAUGUUUCUCUGUUGGAAUGUGUGGAAGUGAUGUGUAUGCUUUGGAGACUGACUGUAAGUGAGGAAUAUAGCUAUGAUUAAUGGGUGACUACCAUUUACAUGGGCCUGUGUUUGGUCCCUGGCUCUGGGGAGAAAGUUCUCAUCUAGAUUCACUUCUCUUUGCUUCUUGGUGCCAUGAUUCGAGCUUUUCUGGUCUGCCACACCCUGUAUGUUUGAUAGACCAAUAUCUCUAAAGGUGUGACUAAAUAAAUUCCUCUUUAAAGGAAAAGGGAGAUCGUGUACCAUGCAUUCCUUUCCAAUUUUGUCUGUUAGAUGCAAAUGAGGCAAUGCCUCACAGGAUAAGAGUGUGCAAAAUGGAAGGUGGUAGACUCUGAGUCAGCCCCUGAAGGGGAGCUAUUUGCCAAGCAGGAGCACCUGAGACAUUAAAACCUACUCUGAUACAUUAUCUUUUCUAUCCAGAUGGAUAAAAUGUGAUAGUCACACAGUGGAAUACUGUCCUAGUUUGGUUCGUGUUUCUGUGAUAAACACCAUAUGCAAAAGCAACCUAGGGAGAAAAGGGUUUAUUUUAUUCUACAGCUUCUAGUCCUUCAUGGAGGGAAGCCAGGACAGGAGCUUCGGAACCUGGAGGCAGAAACAGAAGCAACAGGCUGUGGAGGAGUGCUAGUUCGUUCAUCGUGGGUUGCUCAGUUUGGUUUUUAAUGUAAUCCAGGCACCACUCCCACAUCAAUUAUCAAUUAAGAAAAUGCCCCCAGGGGCUGGAGAGAUGGCUCAGAGGUUAAGAGCACUGGCAGCUCUUCCAGAGGCCCUGAGUUCAAUUCUCAGCAACCACAUGGUGGCUCACAACCUUCUAUAAUGAGAUUUGGUGCCCUCUUCUGGUGUGUAGGCAUAUAUGCCAGAACACUGUAUACAUAAAAAAUAUUUUUAAAAAAUUUAAAAGAAGAAAGAAAAUGCCCCCCAAAGACUUGCCUAUAGGUCAUUCUGAUGGAGACAUUUUCUCAAUUGAGGUUCCCUCUUCCCAGAUGGCACUAGCUUGUGUCAAGUUGACAAAAACUUCACUAGUACAAAGUAUAUAUAGUUAUAUAGUUAUAUAGUUAUAUAGUUUAUAUAGUUAUAUAUUACAAAUUAUAUAUAUAGUUAUAUAUUACUAUAUAUAUAUAUAUAGUUAUAUAUUACAAAGUCACCAUCAGACAUACAUGCAAAACACCCAGAAAAUAAAAAUAAAUCAUCACAAAAAAUUUCUGUAUAACUCAGGAGUUCUUCUUUUAACAGCAAGUGACAUUUCUAAUCCUAUUAAAAGAGACAGAUGGAUGAGUGGUGGUGGCGCACACCUUUAAUUCUAGCACUUGAGAGGCAGAGGCAGGUGGAAGGUGGAUCUCUGUGAGUUUGAGGCCAGCCUGGUCUUCAAGAGUGAGUUACAGGAUAGCCAGGACUGUUACACAGAGAAACCCUGUCUUGAAAAAACCAAAAACAGAGAGAGAGAGAGAGAGAGAGAGAGAGAGAGAGAGAGAGAGAGAGAAGGAGAGAGGGAGGGAAGGAGGGAGGGAGAGAGAUAGGAGAGAGAGAGAGGAGAGGAGAGGAGAAAUAUGAUAUGCUGGGCAUGGUAAUCCAUAUAAUAUAGAUAAUAUAGAUUAGGUGUGUGUGUGUGUGUGUGUGUGUGUGUGUGUGUGUGUGUGUGUGUGUGUGUUCAAGCGCCACAGUAAACAUGUGGGAGUCGUAAGACAACUUAUGGGAGUUAGUUCUCACCUUUCCAUCAUGUGGAUUCUAGAGAUCAAACUCAAGUCAUCUCAAGAACACUCCUUGGGCCUUGGUGAUGAGUGUCCUGAAGUUGACCAGAGUGUUGGGUUUACGGUGAGUGAUGCCACACCAAGCUUCAACUGGUGCUGGAGACUGAACUCGGGGCUCACCAGGUAAGCACUCUGACAAGCCACAUCUCAGCCCCUCUCAUUCACUUAAUUCUUAAUUUUUUCAAAUUGUAUUUAGUGCGAUCUGACAAUCCAGGCAAUGUUGGAGAGGAUAACCUAAAAGCCCUUCCCCUAAAAUGAGAUUGAUGACUUCUCUUUAUGCCAUCCUAGAGCCCUCAUCCAGUGGCUGAUGGAAGCAGAGACUGACAUCCACAGAUAUACACUGAGCUGAAAUCUGGAAUUUAGUUGAAGAGAGGGAGGAAUGAAGAGCGAAGGGGUCUGUACCAGGUUGGAGAAACCCACAGAAACAGUUGGCCUGAACAAGGGGGAGAACAUCGACCCCAGAUGCUGUCCAGGAGGCCAGUACAACACUGAUCCAGACCCCUGAACAUGGAUGUCAAUAAGGAGGCCUCUGCACUCCAGGGAGCCUGUGGUGAUGGAUUAGCAUUUUUCCCUGGUGUAAGAAGGAACUUUGAGAGCCCAUCCCACGUGAAGGGAUACACUCUGGCCCUGGACACAUGGGGAAGGGCCUAGGCCCAGCACAGGAAGAUUUGGUGGACUUUGCAGAACUCCCGUUGAGGGCUCUACCCUGCAUGGGGAGUGGUGGGUGGA
rnacentral:lncRNA from 1 species